rnacentral:rRNA from 1 species
GACGAACGCUGGCGGCGUGCUUAACACAUGCAAGUCGAGCGGUAAGGCCCUUUCGGGGGUACACGAGCGGCGAACGGGUGAGUAACACGUGGGUGACCUGCCCUCAGCUCUGGGAUAAGCCUGGGAAACUGGGUCUAAUACUGGAUAUGACUCCACGGUGCAUGUCGUGGGGUGGAAAGCCUUGUGCGGCUGAGGAUGGGCCCGCGGCCUAUCAGCUUGUUGGUGGGGUGANGGCCUACCAAGGCGACGACGGGUAGCCGGCCUGAGAGGGCGACCGGCCACACUGGGACUGAGACACGGCCCAGACUCCUACGGGAGGCAGCAGUGGGGAAUCUUGCGCAAGUGGGCGAGAGCCUGACGCAGCGACGCCGCGU